rnacentral:rRNA from 1 species
CCUACGGGAGGCAGCAGUGAGGAAUAUUGGUCAAUGGGCGCAAGCCUGAACCAGCCAAGUCGCGUGAGGGAUGACGGUCCUAUGGAUUGUAAACCUCUUUUGUCGGGGAGCAAGGCCCGCCACGUGUGGCGGGAAGGAGAGUACCCGAAGAAAAAGCAUCGGCUAACUCCGUGCCAGCAGCCGCGGUAAUACGGAGGAUGCGAGCGUUAUCCGGAUUUAUUGGGUUUAAAGGGUGCGUAGGCGGAAGGUUAAGUCAGCGGUCAAAUGUCGGUGCUCAACACCGGCCUGCCGUUGAAACUGGUCGUCUUGAGUGAGCGAGAAGUAGGCGGAAUGCGUGGUGUAGCGGUGAAAUGCAUAGAUAUCACGCAGAACUCCGAUUGCGAAGGCAGCAUACCGGCGCUCAACUGACGCUGAGGCACGAAAGCGUGGGGAUCGAACAGGAUUAGAUACCCUUGUAGUC